GCCGCCGUUGAUCAGGACGACCAGCGGCUUGCCCUUGGUCAUGUCGCCGCCAUGCGCGGUGAAGCGCUGGGUCUCCUCCGGCAGGCGGCC
rnacentral:tRNA from 1 species